CUUUGUGUGUAAUUUAUAUUGAUCUCUAAUUUCCAGGCCUUGUGUCUCAUGCUUUGAUCAUCCUUCUCUCUGAUGGUCUAAUCUUUCUCUUGUUGUGGGACAGCACCUGAGAGUGUUGGUCACUGGAAAAGAGGUCCACAGGUCAUGUCCAGAUGGUGCCUUGGGAAUGGUGGCAUUUACCGGUCUUUAUUUACCUUUGUUGACCAAGACCCAGAACCUUGUGCUUUGCCUUGGGCCAGGGUAAUGUAAAAAGCAUCAUUGCAUCAAGGACAUGAGGAUCUCAAGGCCAUGUGAUGCUGUCCAUCUCCUCCCUAAUCUGACCAUAUGAGAUGCCUCAUAUUUGUUCCACUGGGGGGAUCUUGCACUUCUUGAUGCUUCAAGCUGAUUCUUUUAUCUCCUAAUCAGUGGGUCUACACAAAAUUCUGCAAUAUUCAGGUAUUUUGAUUCUUUUGAGCUCAUGCCAGUCCCAUGAUCAUACUGACACAAGUGAGUACCCAUCUUCUAGUCUUCCAAGGAGUCAAAGUUACAAUCACCAAGCAUGUACUGGAAAACCCAAAAAGAAAAAACUACAGAAGAAGAAUAAAAUACAAUGGUAAUGCCCAAGUGCCCAAGUACCAGUUAAAAUGUAUAUAAUUGGUAGCGUGGUAUCAGCCUAUUAGCAUUUUGUAGCUACUGACAUAUCACACUGAUUCAGUCCCGGUGAACUUUUCAGCCAUCUUUGACAGGCAUUAAUAUUGCCACCUAUAUCCCCAUGUGCUUCGUCCUCCCACAGUUGCACAAAAUGAAUGACACAGGAAAACAAUGUAGGCAGAUAAAGUUUACCCUCCAUCGAACAAAGCAUACAGUCCUGCAAUGUAUCGAGGUACUCAACUAUUUGUGCAGAUCACUGCAACCAAAUUAAAGCCAAAAAAAGAGAAGCUAAGAUUUGUUCGUUUGACAGUGUUGAAGAAAUUGACACUGAUGGGAAUGCUCGUCUUUAUCCUGGGACAUACAGUAGCAAAUUAAUGGAACUGUUACGGAUACUAAGCUGCAAGUCUCACACCCAACACUGAUGUUUUCUUGAAGAUCAAUGAGGCAGAUCAGCUUAUAGGAUUUGGGUGUUCAUCAGACAACAACUGAAACUUUUGAGUUGAUCGGGAGUUGGAAGGUAGGAGACACGAGUGCGAGGAAGAUUGCGAGUCUCCCUGAGCUAGAAAAGAUCCUUGAUGUGCUGCGAUGAGAGUGAGCUUCAUCCGAUCAAGGGUCUAGAAAUUUCAACGCCAUACACACACUUCUGUUGAUACCGAGAUUAUGGACAGGAAACGCAAGGUGGAAGAUAAGUAGAAGAUACAGACAAGACGUAUGAACUGUUUUCCCUGCAAAGUUUCGGUGGCUAUUGCUUCUGCUGAUCGAAAUCCUUGUACUAGCAGUGACUGAUAUCUGUUAAGCUGAGACAUCCUCUGCUUCUG